rnacentral:rRNA from 1 species
UACAGAGGUGGCAAGCGUUGUUCGGAAUUACUGGGCGUAAAGGGCGCGUAGGCGGCCUUCUAAGUCGGACGUGAAAUCCCCAGGCUUAACUUGGGAACUGCGUCCGAUACUGGAGGGCUUGAGUGCGGGAGAGGGAUGUGGAAUUCCAGGUGUAGCGGUGAAUGCGUAGAUAUCUGGAGGAACACCGGUGGCGAAGGCGGCAUCCUGGACCGACACUGACGCUGAUGCGCGAAAGCCAGGGAGCAACGGG